rnacentral:rRNA from 1 species
UGCGUAGGUGGUUUUUCAAGUCAGGAGUGAAAGGCUACGGCUCAACCGUAGUAAGCUCUUGAAACUGUAAAACUUGAGUGCAGGAGAGGAGAGUGGAAUUCCUAGUGUAGCGGUGAAAUGCGUAGAUAUUAGGAGGAACACCAGUUGCGAAGGCGGCUCUCUGGACUGUAACUGACACUGAGGCACGAAAGCGUGGGGAGCAAACA